rnacentral:lncRNA from 1 species
GUCUAACAACCAAAACUCAUGUGCCCUUGGCACAAUCUGAUGCAAAUCUAGGUCCACCGUCAACCACGACGGCACUCGACAGUACGGAACAGUUUACACACUACUGUAAAACGAGCUCAGCCCGUCAACACGAGCAUAAACUCAUCCUACACUAAUCUGAAUAUCCAGCACGCACUAACAGCGGGGAUACAAAAGUAUAACAGCUCUUGAAGCUAAAUUUGGUAACUUUUCAGAAAAUGACAGUGUAGGUUUAACGAGUUUUCUCCUAAGUCAAAUCUCAGUUCAACAUAUAUAAUUU